GACGAACGCUGGCGGCGUGCCUAACACAUGCAAGUCAACUUGACGGAAGGAGCAAUCUGACCGUAGAGUGGCGCAAGGGUGCGUAACGCGUAAGUAACUUGCCCCAAGGUAAGGAAUAACGUCGAGAAAUCGGCGCUAAUACCUCAUAAAUGCAAGCGGAUCCGCAUGGAUAUGUUGUUAAAAGGUUUCCGCCUUGGGAUAGGCUUGCGUCUGAUUAGCUAGUUGGUGUGGUAACGGCACACCAAGGCUACGAUCAGUAACUGGUCUGAGAGGAUGAUCAGUCACACUGGGAACUGAGACACGGUCCAGACUCCUACGGGAGGCAGCAGUGAGGAAUAUUGGGCAAUGCUCGAAAGAGUGACCCAGCAACGCCGCGUGGAGGAUGAAGGUAUUCGUAUAUCGUAAACUCCUGUGAGAGCAGACGAAAGACAGAUUAUAAUACUGGAUGACUGUAUGCUCAGAGGAAAGCCCCCGGGCUAAC
rnacentral:rRNA from 1 species